rnacentral:rRNA from 2 species
GAUGAACGCCGGCGGUGUGCCUAAUACAUGCAAGUCGAGCGCACUGGCCCAACAGAAAUGACGUGCUUGCACUGAUUUGACGUUGGAUUCCCAGUGAGCGGCGGACGGGUGAGUAACACGUGGGCAACCUGCCCCAAAGCGGGGGAUAACAUUUGGAAACAGGUGCUAAUACCGCAUAACUUGGAAAACCACAUGGUUUUCCAAUAAAAGAUGGUUUCGGCUAUCACUUUGGGAUGGGCCCGCGGUGCAUUAGCUAGUUGGUAAGGUAACGGCUUACCAAGGCGAUGAUGCAUAGCCGAGUUGAGAGACUGAUCGGCCACAAUGGAACUGAGACACGGUCCAUACUCCUACGGGAGGCAGCAGUAGGGAAUCUUCCACAAUGGGCGCAAGCCUGAUGGAGCAACACCGCGUGAGUGAAGAAGGGUUUCGGCUCGUAAAACUCUGUUGUUGGAGAAGAACGUGCGUAAGAGUAACUGUUUACGCAGUGACGGUAUCCAACCAGAAAGUCACGGCUAA